UUUGGGAGGCCGCCCGGGGGAAUAUUUUUUCAAUGGGGGCAACCCUGAUUCUUCCCACANCCGCGUGUGUGAAGAAGGCCUUCGGGUUGUAAAACACUUUUAUCUUUGGANGAAAAGGUUUCGUUUUAUAACCGGCGNUGAUGACGGUACCCGAAGAAUAANCACCGGCUAAAUUCUGUGCCAGCAGCACGCGGUAAUAANGAAGGGUGCAAGCGUUAUUCUUGAAUUUUUGGGCGUAAAAAGUAGUGUAGGGGGUUUUCUAANUCUGAUGUGAAAACCCCGGGCUCAACCCCGGAAAGGCGNUGGAUACUGGUGAGCUAGAGUAGGGUAGAGGAGGAGUGGAAUU
rnacentral:rRNA from 1 species